rfam:Brachypodium distachyon strain Bd21 chromosome 3, whole genome shotgun sequence.
CAGCUACUUCCUCCGAUUCUAAAUUGUUGUCGAAAUAUUACAUGUAUCUAACGUUUUUUUUAAAAAUAGAUACAUUCAUAUUUAGGCAAAUUUGAAACAAAAAUUUAGAAUCGGAGGGAGUACAUC